rnacentral:rRNA from 1 species
GGUUAAGCGACUAAGCGUACACGGUGGAUGCCCUGGCAGUCAGAGGCGAUGAAGGACGUGCUAAUCUGCGAAAAGCGUCGGUAAGGUGAUAUGAACCGUUACAGCCGGCGAUGUCCGAAUGGGGAAACCCAGUGCAAUUCGUUGCACUAUCGUUAACUGAAUACAUAGGUUAACGAGGCGAACCGGGGGAACUGAAACAUCUAAGUACCCCGAGGAAAAGAAAUCAACCGAGAUUCCCCCAGUAGCGGCGAGCGAACGGGGAGCAGCCCGGAGUCUGAAUCAGCUUGUGUGUUAGUGGAAGCGUCUGGAAAGUCGCAGGGUACAGGGUGAUACUCCCGUACACUAAAACGCACAGGUUGUGAACUCGAAGAGUAGGGCGGGACACGUGGUAUCCUGUCUGAAUAUGGGGGGACCAUCCUCCAAGGCUAAAUACUCCUGACUGACCGAUAGUGAACCAGUACCGUGAGGGAAAGGCGAAAAGAACCCCGGCGAGGGGAGUGAAAAAGAACCUGAAACCGUGUACGUACAAGCAGUAGGAGCCCACUAGUUGGGUGACUGCGUACCUUUUGUAUAAUGGGUCAGCGACUUAUAUUCUGUAGCAAGGUUAACCGUAUAGGGGAGCCGCAGGGAAACCGAGUCUUAACUGGGCGUUAAGUUGCAGGGUAUAGACCCGAAACCCGGUGAUCUAGCCAUGGGCAGGUUGAAGGUUGGGUAACACUAACUGGAGGACCGAACCGACUAAUGUUGAAAAAUUAGCGGAUGACUUGUGGCUGGGGGUGAAAGGCCAAUCAAACCGGGAGAUAGCUGGUUCUCCCCGAAAGCUAUUUAGGUAGCGCCUCGUGAAUUCAUCUUCGGGGGUAGAGCACUGUUUCGGCUAGGGGGUCAUCCCGACUUACCAACCCGAUGCAAACUACGAAUACCGAAGAAUGUUAUCACGGGAGACACACGGCGGGUGCUAACGUCCGUCGUGAAGAGGGAAACAACCCAGACCGCCAGCUAAGGUCCCAAAGUCAUGGUUAAGUGGGAAACGAUGUGGGAAGGCCCAGACAGCCAGGAUGUUGGCUUAGAAGCAGCCAUCAUUUAAAGAAAGCGUAAUAGCUCACUGGUCGAGUCGGCCUGCGCGGAAGAUGUAACGGGGCUAAACCAUGCACCGAAGCUGCGGCAGCGACACUAUGUGUUGUUGGGUAGGGGAGCGUUCUGUAAGCCGUUGAAGGUGGCCUGUGAGGGUUGCUGGAGGUAUCAGAAGUGCGAAUGCUGACAUAAGUAACGAUAAUGCGGGUGAAAAACCCGCACGCCGGAAGACCAAGGGUUCCUGUCCAACGUUAAUCGGGGCAGGGUGAGUCGACCCCUAAGGCGAGGCCGAAAGGCGUAGUCGAUGGGAAACAGGUUAAUAUUCCUGUACUCGGUGUUACUGCGAAGGGGGGACGGAGAAGGCUAUGUUGGCCGGGCGACGGUUGUCCCGGUUUAAGCAUGUAGGCGGAUGUUCCAGGUAAAUCCGGAACGUCACUAACGCUGAGGUGUGAUGACGAGGCACUACGGUGCUGAAGUGACAAAUGCCCUGCUUCCAGGAAAAGCCUCUAAGCAUCAGGUAACAUCAAAUCGUACCCCAAACCGACACAGGUGGUCAGGUAGAGAAUACCAAGGCGCUUGAGAGAACUCGGGUGAAGGAACUAGGCAAAAUGGUGCCGUAACUUCGGGAGAAGGCACGCUGAUGGUAGGUGAAGUGACUUGCUCAUGGAGCUGAAAUCAGUCGAAGAUACCAGCUGGCUGCAACUGUUUAUUAAAAACACAGCACUGUGCAAACACGAAAGUGGACGUAUACGGUGUGACGCCUGCCCGGUGCCGGAAGGUUAAUUGAUGGGGUUAUCCUCGCGGAGAAGCUCUUGAUCGAAGCCCCGGUAAACGGCGGCCGUAACUAUAACGGUCCUAAGGUAGCGAAAUUCCUUGUCGGGUAAGUUCCGACCUGCACGAAUGGCGUAAUGAUGGCCAGGCUGUCUCCACCCGAGACUCAGUGAAAUUGAACUCGCUGUGAAGAUGCAGUGUACCCGCGGCAAGACGGAAAGACCCCGUGAACCUUUACUAUAGCUUGACACUGAACACUGGUCCUUGAUGUGUAGGAUAGGUGGGAGGCUUUGAAGUGUGGACGCCAGUCUGCAUGGAGCCAUCCUUGAAAUACCACCCUUUAAUGGCUGGUGUUCUAACGUGGGCCCCUAAUCGGGGUUGCGGACAGUGUCUGGUGGGUAGUUUGACUGGGGCGGUCUCCUCCUAAAGAGUAACGGAGGAGCACGAAGGUCAGCUAAUCCUGGUCGGACAUCAGGAGGUUAGUGCAAUGGCAUAAGCUGGCUUGACUGCGAGCGUGACGGCGCGAGCAGGUGCGAAAGCAGGUCAUAGUGAUCCGGUGGUUCUGAAUGGAAGGGCCAUCGCUCAACGGAUAAAAGGUACUCCGGGGAUAACAGGCUGAUACCGCCCAAGAGUUCAUAUCGACGGCGGUGUUUGGCACCUCGAUGUCGGCUCAUCACAUCCUGGGGCUGAAGUAGGUCCCAAGGGUAUGGCUGUUCGCCAUUUAAAGUGGUACGCGAGCUGGGUUUAGAACGUCGUGAGACAGUUCGGUCCCUAUCUGCCGUGGGCGCUGGAGAAUUGAGGGGGGCUGCUCCUAGUACGAGAGGACCGGAGUGGACGCAUCACUGGUGUUCGGGUUGUCAUGCCAAUGGCAUUGCCCGGUAGCUAAAUGCGGAAGAGAUAAGUGCUGAAAGCAUCUAAGCACGAAACUUGCCCCGAGAUGAGUUCUCCCUGACCCUUUAAGGGUCCUGAAGGAACGUUGAAGACGACGACGUUGAUAGGCCGGGUGUGUAAGCGCAGCGAUGCGUUGAGCUAACCGGUACUAAUGAACCGUGAGGCUUAACCUU